GGAUUAAUUUACUGGUCGUGCUAUUGUACGUACUGGUUUUAUUGAUUCCUCCCUUCUGACGAACUAUGAUGUCAUUAAUUUGGUGUCAUAGGAAAUCAGGACUGUUACUUUGAAAAAAUUAGAGUGUUUAAAGCAGGCAUCCGCUUGAAUACAUUAGCAUGGAAUAACAGAAUAAGACUU
rnacentral:rRNA from 1 species